GAAAUGCGAUAAGUAGUGUGAAUUGCAGAAUUCAGUGAAUCAUCGAAUCUUUGAACGCACAUUGCGCCCCUCGGUAUUCCGUGGGGCAUGCCUAUUCGAGCGUCAUUUCAACCAUCAAGCCCCCGGGCUUGUGUUGGGGACCUGCGGCUGCCCGCAGGCCCUGAAAACCAGUGGCGGGCUCGCUGUCACACCGAGCGUAGUAGCAAUCACCUCGCUCAGGGCGUGCUGCGGGUUCCGGCCGUUAAACAGCCUUACAAAACCCAAGGUUGACCUCGGAUCAGGUAGGAAGACCCGCUGAACUUAAGC
rnacentral:misc_RNA from 1 species